UCGUUGAGGUGGCGGACGUCGCACAUGACGCCAUGGGCGUCGUGUCCCUGGGCGCGCAAGUGCUCCACGGCCUGUUCGAGGGAGGGCUUGUCGAU
rnacentral:tRNA from 1 species